rnacentral:rRNA from 1 species
GAUGAACGCUGGCGGCGUGCCUAAUACAUGCAAGUCGAACGAACAGACGCGGCGCUUGCUCCUCUGACGUUAGCGGCGCACGGGUGAGUAACACGUGUAUAACCUACCUAUCAGACUGGGAUAUCUUCGGGACUCCGGCGCUAAUCCGGUAUAAUAUCUUGAAGCGCAUUGUGGGAUAGUGAGUGACGGCGUUUCUGGCACUUCUAGCUGGUUCUGGGCCGGAUGAGAUAGUUGGGGAGGUAAAGGGUUACCACGGGUACCAGGCGUAGCCGACCGGACGGGGUGAUCGGCCACACUGGAAGGGAGACACGGUCAAGACUACUACGGGAGGCAGCAGUAGGGAAUGGGCCGCAAUGGGCGAAAGCCUGACGGAGCAAGGCCGCGUGAGUGAUGAAGGUGUUCGGAGCGUAAAACUCUGUUAUGAGGGAAGAACAAAUGUGUAAGUAGCUAUGCCCUGCGUGACGGUACCUGAUCAGAAAGCAACGGCUAACUACGUG